rnacentral:tRNA from 1 species
GGCUGUUUGCCCGAGUGGUUAAGGGGGCAGACU